CAAGAAAAUAGUAGCUACGCGGUAUUUGAAGGGCGAACCUUCGUCUAUUCCCUAUUAUAAAUGUAAUGUGACAUUUUUGAACUAGCGUCGCCGCAUACGAGAGGAACUGAACGGACUGCGAGGGAAAAGACUGCAAAUCCCACAAUGCCGUUCGGCAAGGUUGAGGAUUGCGGGGGUCUCUUUUUGGGGUCCGCGCUGGCCAGUGCUGUGUGAGCUCCACGAUUCUGCCGAGAUGUGAAUAGCACCGGCAGUGUGGAAGGCCGUGGAGCUUCGCUUUUGCCUGGAGCAGAACCGGAGCACCGAGUCCUCGGAGGGGGAAGAUCCCGCGUCCAUCAUCCGGCAACUGCACAUCUGGACCGGCUCUCCGGCUCGGGCGGCUGAAAGCAGGUAUUUGAAGAUCCAUUUACGGGGGGAAGGGGCUUUCAGAGAGACAGUGGACCGAACGGGAACCGCAGACUUCACAGGCAUCUCUGUGUCACCGUGUCAAGGAGGACAGGUUGAUGAACAGUCACUUCCGCGGCCCGGGAGACGCGCGAGGAUUUUGAACAGCAGCCGGGUCGUGGGAGGGGGGCAGUGGGCAGUGCUCUGGCAGAGGAAGGACGGGGAGAGGGCACACUGGUAGGCAAGCGGCUGCAGGACAGAGAUUACAGAUUAGGAGAUUAAGGAGAGCAGCAGGUGGGGGGGGGGCAAACUGGGCUGUCAAAAUCCGUACCCCCCUCCAAAAAAAGGCGACAUUCUACAAACAAAAGUGUCUAAGUGUUCAACUCUGAAAAAAGCACGUUUUUUGCCAUUUCUAAUGUAGCCAUGAUUGCUACUAAUUCCUUUUCUUAGCGAGCCUCAGCUUGGCAUGGCCACAGAGCCCUGCCCUGAACGUCUGGCAUCCGGAGAGUAGAAUAAUGGCAUCUCCACACCCACCCAGUCCUCAGCAGAGGGACUGACAGGCACCGAAGACAAGACAAUGCCUCGCGUCCCCCUUCGUUAACCAUCCAAACCCGCGGCAGAAUAGGAAAAAAGAGAAAGGGCUUCAGAAGCCGUGGAAAGAGCAGGGAGGGGUGGGAGUGCUUUUCGCGAUGACUGGCAACUGCGGCGAAUUUCGCUUGUUCAAAUCUGCGGUGAGACUCCACCCUUCCUCCCCGUGUGAU
ensembl:lncRNA